AGUGAACGCUGGCGGUAGGCCUAACACAUGCAAGUCGAACGGCAGCACAGUAAGAGCUUGCUCUUACGGGUGGCGAGUGGCGGACGGGUGAGGAAUACAUCGGAAUCUACUUUUUCGUGGGGGAUAACGUAGGGAAACUUACGCUAAUACCGCAUACGACCUACGGGUGAAAGCAGGGGAUCUUCGGACCUUGCGCGAUUGAAUGAGCCGAUGUCGGAUUAGCUAGUUGGCGGGGUAAAGGCCCACCAAGGCGACGAUCCGUAGCUGGUCUGAGAGGAUGAUCAGCCACACUGGAACUGAGACACGGUCCAGACUCCUACGGGAGGCAGCAGUGGGGAAUAUUGGACAAUGGGCGCAAGCCUGAUCCAGCCAUACCGCGUGGGUGAAGAAGGCCUUCGGGUUGUAAAGCCCUUUUGUCGGGAAAGAAAAGCAGCAGGUUAAUACCCCGCUGUUCUGACGGUACCCAAAGAAUAAGCACCGGCGAACUUCG
rnacentral:rRNA from 1 species